UAUUUAUUUUUUUUUGUUGAAAAAAUUCACUUUCCGUUCACGGAUUUGUAAUCUACUCGUAAAAAUAAGACGAUUUAAAAAAAAAUUAUUUUUGAGGCCUCCUUAGUUGAGGGAUCUAAACUAUACAUUUACCGAAAAUGCUAUUCGAAUUUUAAUUAAAUCAAUUAAGGAUUGACAAGUUAUGCUUCUGGACGUAGCUCGAACGCUCCCUAAUUUUUUUUCGAUUAUUUUAUAAUAUGAUUAGGUAAAUAUUUUAGUAAAUGUUAGGUCAAAGAUGGUGACGAGACUUGCACAGAGAGGCUCUUAUGCUUUCGGAAUAUAACGAGCUCCUCUCCAAGCAGUUUUCGCAGAAAUCACCCCUGCAGUCGUCUGAUUGAAGCGGAACCGCCUCUUGGGAGCAACAAGAGGGGCUUCCUUGAUUACGUCGUCGACAUCAGACAGUAAGCCUACUGGACUUUGGACGCAACGGAGCCAUCAACAUCUUCAUCGACUCCCUCUCAGUCAAUGGCGUACUAGGAUUCAAACCACCACCCAUAGCAUACAUAGAGCUCGAGUUGCCUCCCGAAACCAGAAUGAACCUCGCGUUCUGGAUAUUGUAGCAGGUUAAACUCCUACUUAUCCAGAAUAGACCCCGACAUUCCAAACAUAUGCCCUGCGUGCAAUGAGUCCCCGCAUGAUACUAACCGCCUCUUUGCAUGCCUAAUAAACCCAACUCAUCUAACAACGUUUUUCCUAUGGUCCGACCCCGUCGAAACAGCUUGUUUCUUGGACCUCCCGUUAGAUGACCUCGACAACAACCAAACUAUUACUUAUCAUCCAAAAAUAUAUAAACGUUACAACAACAAACGUUUCAACAAUAGUUUUAGGUUUUGAGCUCUUGAGCCAGUCUUUAAAAAAAAAUUUCAAUAUGUUUUUAAUAACUAUAGCUUUUUUUUUGUUAUUAAUGGUCUCAGCCUAUCUCACAAGGGUUAAGUUUUACAAUUAGUCAAGCAAACGUGGUCUAACCCCUGUUUUUUGUAACAUGUUAACAUGUUUAAAUCAUUGUCUGUUUAAUAUAUGUACAUAUGUAUAAACGUUUAUAUAUUUAUAUUGUGAACAAGAAAAAACGUGAACUCCGACUGUAACGAAGCUAUAAUAUCCCGUACAGAUCAGUUUGUAUGGCAUUUGAUAUAGUGGUCCCAUCCGAACAAUUUCUUCGGAGAUUAUACCGUUGCUUUGAAAAAUAAGUCGUGCCUAAUUUCGUGAAGAUAUAUUGUCAAAAAAAAGUUAUUCUUACAAAAACUUGACUCUGAUCGUUCAGUUUAUGUGGCAGCUGUUUGCUAUAGAAUUCAUAUAUCGGCGAUUCCGACAAAUUAACAGGGAGAGUCUAUUUCAGAGUGAUAUCUCAAAUACUAAGGGACUAUUUCGCAUAUAUGGUAUACACAUAGACGGACAUGGCUAAAUUAACUCAGCUCGUCACGCUGAUCAUUUAUAUAUGUAUACACUUUAUAUGGUCUCCGACGUUUCCUUCUGAGUGUUACAAACUUCAUAGUACCUGUUCAGGGUAUAAAAAUGGUCAUAUUACGAUAAAUAUUUAAAGUCAUUUCGUAUAUGAUAUGCUAAAUCCGAUGUGAAAUUGAGAAACUUAUAUUUGGAGAAAAAAACAAAUAUCAUUACUUUCCAGUCACUUAGUCUUACUUCGAUUAUAGGCUAUAGUAUUAUAUCUACUUUAUUUGUUAAGGAAUAAUUUUUUCAAUAUCAAUCUCUAUUCAUUCUAAAAAUUAAAAUUAAUUAUUUAAAUAAAAUAAAGUAUUAAAGUAAUUACCUGAAGGAAUAUUGAAAACAACUGCACAUAUUUUCAGUUGUGGUUAAGCUGUUCGAUUACUGAUUUUCACAUUCUUUUCAUUUCAUUCCUUCAAAGGAACAAGUUAUUUUAAAAACAUAUACAUAUGUAUGUAGAUUUAUAUUUCAGAAAAAAUCUCGAAAUAUGAGUGUGUCAUUUUUCGCUAAAACUAAAAUUACUAAGAACUAUAUUUGUAGAUGUAAUGACUCAUAGCUUUAAUCUUGGUUUCACUAGUGCCCUGGUUGCACCAACUAAACACUCUCAACUAAAACUGAUGCAGCAAUUUUUAGAAUAAUUACGUUAUAGACACUUUUACAACAAUAAAAAAAAUUAACAAAGUGCUUGACUUUAUAAAUAAAUGACGAAUUUUGAUCUAAAGUGAGAAGAUUUUGAGCCCACUAAAAUUACAUUUGCCAUACAAUCGAAAAACGGGUGGGCAAUUGUAGUACAAAGAAACUUAUACAAAAGGUAUAAACUAUCGAAAUAUGUCUAAAAACUUCGAAAGAACAUAUUAGAUUUGUCUCUUAAAAUCCAAGGAUCGUUUUUAUAUCGUACUGCUCAAUUGAUCAUCCAUGAAAGGCGAAUGUAUGGUAAACACUGAGUGCGUUCGCGUUUUCCGUAAAAUAAUCAUUGGAGCACGCGAAUCAAGGUAUUCACUUAUUACAUAGAAUUUUUAUGAAUGUCUAA